ensembl:lncRNA
ACAUAACCAUUUUUACUACUUCUUGUGAGGAAAUACCACAGCUCUGCAUUUACCAGAACGUUUUUCAGGUAUGGUUUUUGGGGACUUCGCACCACAUGAUUCCAAGAACCAAAGCUACCAUGCAAAUAAGCAGGGCUCAACUUUAUCUUCCAAAAAACGUCCAUUUUGAAGAUACACUCAUCUGCUCCGCAGUAUAAUUUUUUGAGAGUGCUACAGGAUUUCCGACUCCUAUGGAGUAGGAGUAACAGAAUAAUAUAAAGAUUACUGCUU